GCCUGUGUAGCUCAGUGGCAGAGCACGACUUUCGUAAAGUUGGGGUCGCAGGUUCAAAUCCUGCCACAGGCU
rnacentral:tRNA from 1 species